rnacentral:siRNA from 1 species
CGUGAGUGUGUGUACUAAGUU